UGUUCUCUGCCUAUGGAGAUUUCAAUGCCUUCCCAAGGUGGCUAAGGGAGGGUUGCCAAAGGAUUGGUGUGAAACUCGUAGAUGUUCCAAAUGGAAGAAAGGACACCAUUGACAAGGCUAUUUUGGUUGAUAUUCUUGUUCGCUCUUGAUAGCCAUUUGCUAUCAUCAAUUAUGUUGAUCUCAGUGGAUGUAGAUUUUUCUCUCGCAUUGCACAUACUGGGCAGCGUGGUUACACUAUCAUCCUUGUCAUUCUUGCUGGAGUAGGCGUUUCAUCUGCCUUGAGUAAUGUAGGUAGUUUCGACUGGGAUUGGCCUAGGGUGGCUCGUAGAGAACGGUUUGUGUCUCCUAAAGCAAUGAUGUCUCGUGCGCCUACUGAAAUUGCUGGGUAUCUUAUGGGUUGCCAUAUCAAUGAAAAUACUGAUGGGAAAAUUGAGGAGGAAUCAAUCGUUUAUAGAGGGAGUUCACAAAGCGAGUACACUGCUCGGGCUAACAUCAACCAUUUUUGACUGUUUUUACCCAAGAGAUUUAUCAAGGGCUUCGCAGUCCUUAUCUGAAUACGACAACAAUUUGAUUACCAAUUUGCCAUGCCUUGUUCUCCCUCUUCAAGAUGCAUUGUCUCCCCUCUGGCAUUACGAUGUUUGAGCAGGUUCUAUUACUAUCUCCACUCUGCUGGGAUUGUUGGAUUUGGUUCAUCUUCUUCAAAUAGAGUUACCAAUCAUGGUGAAGGGAUACCUCUUUCUCUCCAUCAUAUCAUUGGAUUAGCCAAAAUUCAGCAUUAAGGACGUUGAUGAAGAGCUAAAGAGAUUAUUGGAUGAUGUGGAUGAUAGCAUCGUUGAAGACUUGCUAUUUGGUGCAAGUAUUAGUUUUACUGGGAGCGAGACUCAACCCCCAGACAAUGUUAUUUGAUUUAGUUGAGUUAUGGUGAUGUAAUAACUAUAGUUAUGCUUUUGUGGAUGUUUUCCUUUGUUUAUAAUACUUUGUUUCUUUUUAAACAUGGAUGAUGGAAUUAGGUGAGCCAUGGGUUGAAUGA